rnacentral:rRNA from 1 species
GACGAACGCUGGCGGCGUGCUUAACACAUGCAAGUCGAACGGAAAGGCCCUGCUUUUGUUGGGUGCUCGAGUGGCGAACGGGUGAGUAACACGUGAGUAACCUGCCCCUGACUUUGGGAUAACUUCAGGAAACUGGGGCUAAUACCGGGUAGGAGCUCCUGCACCAUGGUGGGGGUUGGAAAGUUUCGGCGGUUGGGGAUGGACUCGCGGGUUAUCAGCUUGUUUGUGGGGUAGGGGUAUACCAAGGCUGUGAAGGAUAGCCCACAUGAGAGGGUUGACAGCCACCAUGGGCCUGAGAUACGGCGCAGAAUCCAACGUGAGGCAGUGGGCGGGAAUCUUACACAAUAGGCCGGCGCCUGAGACAGCAGCCCUGGGUGCGGGAUGACGGCUUUCGGGUUGUGAACCGAUGUCGCCUGUGACGAGGAGUGAGUGACGGUAAUGGGUAAGGAAGCACCGGCUAACUACGUG